UUGGUGGCGAGUGGCGAACGGGUGAGUAAUGCAUCGGAACGUACCGAGUAAUGGGGGAUAACUAUCCGAAAGGAUAGCUAAUACUCGCAUACGCUUUGAGAAGGAAAGUGGGGGCUCUUCGGACCUCACGUUAUUCGAGCGGCCGAUGUCUGAUUAGCUAGUUGGUGGGGUAAAGGCCUACCAAGGCGACGAUCAGUAGCGGGUCUGAGAGGAUGAUCCGCCACACUGGGACUGAGACACGGCCCAGACUCCUACGGGAGGCAGCAGUGGGGAAUUUUGGACAAUGGGCGCAAGCCUGAUCCAGCCAUGCCGCGUGUCUGAAGAAGGCCUUCGGGUUGUAAAGGACUUUUGUUGGGGAAGAAAAGGAUAGUGUUAAUACCAUAUCUGG
rnacentral:rRNA from 1 species